rnacentral:rRNA from 1 species
GACGAACGCUGGCGGCGUGCUUAACACAUGCAAGUCGAACGGAAAGGCCCUGCUUGCCGGGUACUCGAGUGGCGAACGGGUGAGUAACACGUGGGUGAUCUGCCCUGCACUUCGGGAUAAGCCUGGGAAACUGGGUCUAAUACCGGAUAGGAGCCAUUUUUAGUGUGAUGGUUGGAAAGUUUUUUCGGUGUAGGAUGAGCUCGCGGCCUAUCAGCUUGUUGGUGGGGUAAUGGCCUACCAAGGCGGCGACGGGUAGCCGGCCUGAGAGGGUGGACGGCCACAUUGGGACUGGGAUACGGCCCAGACUCCUACGGGAGGCAGCAGUGGAGAAUAGUGCACAAUGGGCGCAAGCCUGAUGCAGCGACGCCGCGUGGGGGAUGACGUCCUUCGGGUUGUAAUCUCCUUUCGCUAGGGACGAAGCUUUUUGUGACGGUACCUAGAGAAGAAGCACCGGCUAACUACGUG